rnacentral:rRNA from 1 species
AACGAACGCUGGCGGCAUGCCUAACACAUGCAAGUCGAACGAGACCUUCGGGUCUAGUGGCGCACGGGUGCGUAACGCGUGGGAACCUGCCCUUAGGUUCGGAAUAACUCCCCGAAAGGGGUGCUAAUACCGGAUAAUGUCUUCGGACCAAAGAUUUAUCGCCUUUGGAUGGGCCCGCGUUGGAUUAGCUAGUUGGUAGGGUAAAAGCCUACCAAGGCGACGAUCCAUAGCUGGUCUGAGAGGAUGAUCAGCCACACUGGGACUGAGACACGGCCCAGACUCCUACGGGAGGCAGCAGUGGGGAAUAUUGGACAAUGGGCGAAAGCCUGAUCCAGCAAUGCCGCGUGAGUGAUGAAGGCCUUAGGGUUGUAAAGCUCUUUUACCCGGGAUGAUAAUGACAGUACCGGGAGAAUACGCUCCGGCUAACUCCGU